rnacentral:rRNA from 1 species
UACGGGGGGGAGCAAGCGUUGUUCGGAUUUACUGGGCGUAAAGGGCGCGUAGGCGGUCAGCACAAGUCAGUUGUGAAAUCUCCGGGCUUAACUCGGAAAGGUCAACUGAUACUGUGCGACUAGAGUGCGGAAGGGGCAACUGGAAUUCUCGGUGUAGCGGUGAAAUGCGUAGAUAUCGAGAGGAACACCGGUGGCGAAGGCGGUUCUCUGGGCCUUACCUGACGCUGAGGAGCGAAAGCGUGGGGAGCAAACAGG